CCAAUAGCGUAUAUUAAAGUUGUUGCAGUUAAAAAGCUCGUAGUUGAAUUUCGGGAUCAAUAUGCCGGUCAUGCCUUGGUAUGCACUGGUAUCUUUGAUUUCUCCCUUCUGACGAACUUUGAUGUCAUUAAUUUGGUGUCAUAGGGAAUCAGGACUGUUACUUUGAAAAAAUUAGAGUGUUUAAAGCAAGCUCACGCUUGAAUACAUUAGCAUGGAAUAAUGAAAUAGGACGUUUGAUUCUAUUUUGUUGGUUUCUAGGAUCGACGUAAUGAUUAAUAGGGAUAGUUGGGGGCAUUAGUAUUCAAUUGUCAGAGGUGAAAUUCUUGGAUUUAUUGAAGACUAACUACUGCGAAAGCAUUUGCCAAGGAUGUUCUCAUUAAUCAAGAACGAAAGUUAGGGGAUCGAAGACGAUCAGAUACCGUCGUAGUCUUAACCAUAAACUAUGCCGACUAGGGAUCGGAUGAUGUUAAUUUUUUAAUGACUCAUUCGGCGCCUUACG
rnacentral:rRNA from 1 species